rnacentral:rRNA from 1 species
UACAGAGGUCUCAAGCGUUGUUCGGAUUCAUUGGGCGUAAAGGGCGCGUAGGUGGCCUGGUAAGUCUGUGGUGAAAGCCCGGAGCUCAACUCCGGGUCUGCCGCGGAUACUGCGAGGCUUGAGUGCUGUAGAGGGGGGUAGAAUGCCGGGUGUAGCGGUGGAAUGCGUAGAGAUCCGGCAGAAGACCGGUGGCGAAGGCGGCCCCCUGGGCAGUAACUGACACUGAGGCGCGACAGCGUGGGGAGCAAACAGG